UCCUUAAGGGGUCAAUUGACAAUUUUGGUCAAAUUGACUUAAUUGAAGAUCUUACUUUGCUGAACAUUAUUGCUGUUUACAGUUUAUUUCUAUCUAUAAUCAUAUUCAAGAUAAUAUACAAAAACAGCAAAAUUUCCUUAAAAUUAUCAAUUCAGGGGCAGCAACCCAACAACAGAUUGUCUGAUUCAUCUGAAAAUUUCAGGGCAGAUAGAUCUUGACCUGAUAAACAAUAUUACCCAACGUCAGAUUUGCUCUAAAUGCUUUGGUUUUUGAGUUAUAAGCCAAAAACUGCAUUUGACCCCUAUGUUCUAUUUUUAGCAAUGGCGACCAUGUUUGUUGAUAGAUCAUAACUUCGGAUACAAUUUACAAACUAGAUACCCUAAGGAACAUUCAGUUAAAGUUUGGAAGUAUUUGGCCCAGUAGUUUCAGAGGAGAAGAUUUUUGUAAAAGAUUACUAAGAUUUACGAAAAAUGGUUAAAAAUUGACUAUAAAGGGCAAUAACUCCUAAAGGGGUCAACUGACCAUUUCCGUCAUGUUGACUUAUUUGUAAAUCUUACUUUGCUGAACAUUAUUCCUGUUUACAGUUUAUCUCUAUCUAUAAUAAUAUUCAAGAUAAUAACC
rnacentral:lncRNA from 1 species